rnacentral:rRNA from 1 species
AUUGAACGCUGGCGGCAUGCUUUACACAUGCAAGUCGAACGGCAGCGCGGGCUUCGGCCUGGCGGCGAGUGGCGAACGGGUGAGUAAUGCAUCGGAACGUGCCCAGUAGUGGGGGAUAGCCCGGCGAAAGCCGGAUUAAUACCGCAUACGACCUGAGGGUGAAAGCGGGGGACCGAAAGGCCUCGCGCUAUUGGAGCGGCCGAUGUCGGAUUAGCUAGUUGGUGGGGUAAAGGCUUACCAAGGCGACGAUCCGUAGCUGCUCUGAGAGGACGACCAGCCACACUGGGACUGAGACACGGCCCAGACUCCUACGGGAGGCAGCAGUGGGGAAUUUUGGACAAUGGGGGCAACCCUGAUCCAGCCAUGCCGCGUGCGGGAAGAAGGCCUUCGGGUUGUAAACCGCUUUUGUUCGGGAAGAAAUCCUCUGGGCUAAUACCCCGGGGGGAUGACGGUACCGGAAGAAUAAGCACCGGCUAACUACGUG